rnacentral:rRNA from 1 species
CCCAGACUCCUACGGGAGGCAGCAGUGGGGAGUAUUGCACAAUGGGGGAAACCCUGAUGCAGCGACGCCGCGUGAGCGAUGAAGUAUUUCGGUAUGUAAAGCUCUCUCAGCAGGGAAGAAAAUGACGGUACCUGACUAAGAAGCCCUGGCUAACUACGUGCCAGCAGCCGCGGUAAUACGUAGGGGGCAAGCGUUAUCCGGAUUUACUGGGUGUAAAGGGAGCGUAGACGGUCCUGCAAGCCAGAUGUGAAAGCCCGGGGCUCAACCCCGGGACUGCAUUUGGAACUGUAAGGCUAGAGUGUCGGAGAGGCAGGCGGAAUUCCUAGUGUAGCGGUGAAAUGCGUAGAUAUUAGGAGGAACACCAGUGGCGAAGGCGGCCUGCUGGACUGCAACUGACGUUGAGGCCCGAAAGCGUGGGGAGCAAACAGGAUUAGAUACCCCUGUAA